CUAUAAAUGUUUAGCGGCCUUACCUUAGGGUUUCCUCUGGGGUAAGUGAUUGCUUCUACACUGUGAAAAUUUGGCUGAGAGACUCAGACUGGUCAUGGGUAGACCUAUCUGGGGUUUGAUCGAUGCCACUCCUGGUUUCAGGAGUACCCUUCAUAAUAAACCUAGAAAUUCAGUAUUAUAAAGUUUAAUAAAAAACAACUUUUAACAAUGGAUCUCUUGGUUCUCGCAUCGAUGAAGAACGCAGCCAGGAUCAUUAAUUAUGUUAAAGCGCCUUACUUAUGGUUUCUCUGGGGUAAGUGAUUGCUUCUCACUGUGAAAAUUUGGCUGAGAGACUCAAACGGUCAUGGGUAGACCUAUCUGGGGUUUGAUCGAUGCCCUCCGGUUUCAGGAGUACCCUUCAUAAUAAACCUAGAAAUUCAUAUUAUAAAGUUUAAUAAAAAACAACUUUUAACAAUGGAUCUUGGUUCUGCAUCGAUAAAACGCACCA
rnacentral:rRNA from 1 species